AGCUCCAAUAGCGUAUAUUAAAGUUGUUGCAGUUAAAAAGCUCGUAGUUGGAUUUCUGGUUCCGCUUGCGGCGGUCCGGCCUUAUGGUCUGUGUACCGCUCGCUAGCAGCCAUCCUUCCGGGGAGUGUGUCUACCCUUUACUGGGCCGGACGCACGACCUGGAUCGUUUACUUUGAAAAAAUUAGAGUGUUUAAAGCAGGCUUAUAGCUCUGAAUACAUUAGCAUGGAAUAAUAAGAUAGGACUCUGGUUCUAUUUUGUUGGUUUCUAGGACGAGAGUAAUGAUUGAUAGGGACAGUUGGGGGUGCUCGUAUUGAACGGCCAGAGGUGAAAUUCUUGGAUUCGUUCAAGACGAACUACUGCGAAAGCAUUCGCCAAGGAUGUCUUCUUUAAUCAAGAACG
rnacentral:rRNA from 1 species